rnacentral:ncRNA from 1 species
UUAAUUUUAAUUUGGUUAAUUAAAUUAUUUAUUAUAUUAAAUACUUAUAUAUAUAAAUUUUAUUAAUUAAUUAAUUUUAAAUAAAUUAAUUUAUUAAAUUUAAUAUAAAAUUUUAUAAAAAUUAAGAAAUUAUUUAUAGAAAUUAUAAUAUUAUAUAAAAACUUUGUGCCAGCAUUAGCGGUUAUACAAAGUAUAAAAAAUAAUUUUAAUAAUAAUAAUUAAAUUGUAAAAUUUUAUAAUUAUAAUAAUAAUUUUUUGAUAAAAUAAAAAUUAUUUAUUAAUUAUUAAUUUAAAUAAAUUAAUUUAAAAAUUUUAUUAUUAAACUAGGAUUAGAUACCCUAUUAUAUUAAAUUAAAUUAUAUAUUUAUUAAUUAGUAUAAUUUUUGAAAAUUAAAAAUUAUGGCGGUAUUUUAAUCUAUUUAGAGGAACUUGUUCUAUAAUUGAUAAUCCACGAAAUUAAUUACUUUAUUUCAUAUAUUUAUGUAUGUUCGUUAUAAAAAUAUUUUUUAAAAAUAUUAAUUUUUAAAUAAUUUUAUUAAAUUAUAUUUCAGAUCAAUAUGUAAUUUUUAAUAAAGAAGUAAUGAGUUACAAUUUUUAUAAAUAAUUAAAUUAAUAAAUAAAAUUUUAUUAUGAAAUUGGAUUUAAUAGUAAAAAUUAUUAAUUAAUAAUUUUGAAUUUAGUUUUAAAAUAUGUACAAAUCGCCCGUCACUUCUUUAAAUAAAAGAAUAAGUCGUAACAAAGUAAAUGUACUGGAAAGUGUAUUUAGUUAUA